rnacentral:lncRNA from 1 species
UGUCCAUUUCACAUUCGUUAGAUCCAUUUGCCUCUAGUUAGGGAGACACAUCCUUAAAAUGGUGGCUUUAGGAAGCUUCCCGCAGAGUUUCUUUCGUGUGGCAAUGUGUGUAGCAGGUAUACUGAGCUUCUGUUUCCUUCCAGGAGAAGGAGAAGGGGCACUUACCCAGGAGUACCGAACACUCUCAGCCUGCUCUCUUGGUCUCCUUCAUGUCUGUUUCUGCCCUGCUGAUUUUCUGCCUUCAGAAACAAAGAAGAAUCCAGCUUUUCUUCAUGAUGCAGGAUGUUGUAUAUACUUGGAGCCAUCCUCAGUCACAGCUGCCCCUUCAUGAUUCCAAGAGAUAACUGGGUUUCUGAACACUGAGCAUCAACAUCUCCAGUCUCAUCAUGGGAGACACUCAUCCAGAAGCAAAUCUCAGCCAACGGGAGUGGAGCCAACGUGGGAGGCUGCAACUGCAGUAAGAUUGCCACCAUUCAGGGACCAGCCAGGAUCUCAUGCCUACUGCUGCUUUGGUGGCUAUGAUGGACCAUUUCAACAGGUGACCACACGGAGAAUUGAACAACAUAUUCUUAUGGAAACAGCACCUGUACAGGGAAAGGCAGGGCAUGUGGGGAAACACAGGAAACAACACAGAGGCAGAAGCAGCACUUGAGGGGGAAACAGUGCUCCUCUGGGCUCGGCAUGCUGCGUUGUCUGCUGGGCGGCUGGCGGAGGACCAGGGCACAGAGCAGUGUUUAACUGCUCAGCUCUUGCUCUGAACAGCUGAGCUAUAAAUGCUCAUACCUCAGCCGAAGAAUAAGCAACCUAAUCUGAAAUCGUAUUCCAGUAAAAAUAAAAAUAUGUUGGGUUGGAAGAAAGAGAGUUGCAUUGCCUUUUGAUUUCACCUCCCACCUCUUUUAUUGCAAGAAUUGUAUUGCUGCUCCUCCAGCUGUGAUAACUCUUUCGGGAAUAAUAAGAGCUCUCAUCUGUCUUAAACAGACCAAUGAAAGAAUUUAUUUCUCAUGCGCUGUUUGUGAAUAUUGAGUUAAGUAAUAGCUGGCACUUAUAGACCACCUUAAUAUGCGUUAGCAUUGUACCCUCAGGGCAGUCAUUGGAGGUAAGUGUGGCAAUCAUCUUGGUUAUACAUGAGCAAAUGAAGAACCAGAGAAGCUCAGCGGUUUGUUCAAGGUCACACCGCCAGUCUAUAAGAUAAGAUGGUAUAAAGGAAAGAGGUCCAUUCUGAGGUCAGAUAGUUCUGAGUUCUUAUCUCUGUUCUGUUACUUAGUAGCUGGCUGACCUUGUUGUUUCUCCUCUCUGAGUCUACAUUUCCUAGUUAUUAAAAUGGUAUAGUAAUGCUCACUCCAUGGAUUUAUUAUCAAUUCAGUGGAACAUUUAUAUAAAAAGACAAUGUCAAAUAUACUGCUUAAUAAUUCCUUCUCCAUUUGCUCCUUUUUCUUUCUAAGAAAAACAGUUGGAGCUUGAACUCAGACCAGCUGAUCUCCCAGCCCACACUCUUUGCACCCUUCCAUGCUGCCUGCCGUCUCUACCCUCUCCCGGCUGACAGUACAGUGGCAGCCGGGAGGUGAUGCCUUCUUACAAAUCAUCUGUGAUAUAGUGAGGAAUAUCCUUGGGUACUAGAGGAACAUGCAUUUAUGCACUUAUUCAGUGAGAGAGCUCCAUGUGGAUUUAGGGGGAGGGCGGGUCCAGCUUUGAAUAUGUGCUUGUUAAAUUGUCUGUGUGAGGAGCCAAGGGGCACUGCUCAAUAGGUAGCUGGAUAUGCAGAGCUGAAGCUUGGGAAACCAAUCUGAGCUUUGGCUGCAGAUUUAUGAGUCAUCAUUGUACAAGGGAUCAGAAUAUAAUUCCGGCUUUUAUGACUCUCAGAGGUGGUGGAAACAAGGUGUGGCAGAGACAGAAAUAAUUACAAUACAAUAUAAAAUAUGACAGUCUAGAUUAAAAUAAAUCCAAGAGGACAAGAACUUUGUCCUCAUGGAGCUUAGGU